rnacentral:lncRNA from 1 species
AAUUGAAGGCACUGCUGUUUCUCAGGACAGAUUGCCUGAAACUGCGGAGAGAGAGAAUUUGGAGAUGGACAAUAGGGAACAAGACCUUCCAAAUAGGCCAUCUGUGUCAUCAUCACUCAGGGUUGUUUGUUCAAGUGGGCAGUCCAGUGGAAGGAAUGAUGUACAAAGCUCGAACAAACCUGCAGCAAGGAUUAAAACUUCUCAUAUGGAAACAUUGGAGAAUGCUUAUUUUCAAAUAAAGGACAUGGUGGGAUCAGAUUAUUGGAAUAAACUUAUGAGGAAAUGCGGCUUAUCAGACAAUGACAUAGAUAACAUAAAGCAUGAUAAUGCUCUACAUUUUGAUGAACAGCAUCAUCAGAUGUUAAAAACUUUGCGAGACAGGAAUGGAAUUGUUGCAGCUUUUCAUAAAAUAUUUGCUGGACUGGAAGAAAUGAACCUUUAUGGUAUUUAUGAAAAUAUAAUAAAUGAACUAAAACACAAAGAUUUAAUAAUAAAGGAGACCGAAGACUAAUUUAGUUUUUCUUUCUUUCUUUUUGACUAUGCAAAAACGACAGAAAACAGUCUGUCUUUUUAUGCAUCAAUUUAUUUUAGCACAUGUUCCCUCGGCUGAGGAUGUGUAAAUGGACAACACAGUUGUUGAAAGAACUAUGGAUCCUAUUUGGGAAAUGAAAUGCAUAUCUGAGUGGGUAAAUUUUGCAACAUAAAAACUUUACAAUGGAUAAUGCAGGAACCAAUAGGAGCUUGGUCAGUACUUGGAUUCAGGUUUUUGUGAUUCUGUACUGUCCUCUAUAAAAAUGCUAUUGUGACCAAAAUUCAGUGUUCAAUAUUACGUGAACUGCUCACAUAGCAGGCUGAAGUUGGACAUAAUAGUUUUCAACAGAAUCAGAAUCAGGUAAUCUGUUGGGUAAGUGGAAUUUAACUGUGUAAAACUUCUUGAAAUAUAAUCCGCUGGAAUCGGGCUGGAACUGUUCGCAUUUGCUACUAUAGUAUGAAAUGACUGAUGGAUGUAAUAUUUCAUUUGUGAUCUUAUAUACAAAGAGACAACAAAUGUGAACAGUGUCAUACUCUGUACUUUUUGUAUGUAUUUUCUAAUAAAAAAAC